AACACUCUCCAAUACUUUAACAAGCACAGAUGAGUGUUUCCGGGGAACUAAAUUACUGCCGCACCGCGCCAAACUACAAAUAUAAGCGCCAUUCUGUUUUAUAACUUCAAGAAAGAGAUAUCGACUUCAAGAAGUAUAUAUUUAAAAUGCCUGUGAAGAGAGCUCUUCAGUUAGAAGACAAAGAAAACAGCCCUGCUAAGAGGCAUGCACCAAACAGGAACUAUUCGCCUUUGACUGGAACCCAAUUGACAAAACCUGCAGCAGGUAAUUCCAGAGCAGGUGGGAAGAAAACGAAUCCCCCUCAAACAAAAGAGCCCAUGACAGACGCUGAGAAAAUUUUGUUCCUCAGGUCUAAGGUGAAAAAGUCUCUCAAGGAUCUCAUGAAAUACAGGCAACAGCUGGAAACAUUAUUGCCAGUAGAGGGCAGUAGUGAGCUGAGGAGUCUCUUGCUGAUCAGUCCUGCUGAUCUACAAACUGAACUCAAGAGACAUGAGAAUCUGUCUGCUAAAAUUGCAUCUUGUGCCCAUAGAGCAGACACAAACAAGGGUCAUUUCCAAGAGGCAUUUCAGAUCAUUUGCAUUUAGAUCAUCUGGCUGUGACAGCCGCAGCAGUCUACAAACUCUAGGACUGAUGGGUUGAAACAGACUGGCAGCUCUUAUGAAUUUCUCAAGAAAAUCUUAAGCCGCUGAGGGAUCAUUUCUCGAUGUAGGACAUGGGCGGCAGCUGGUACCCGCUCAAGGUGGAUCACGUAACUCUCUCUUUAUCACUUCUAGAGGCUGUCUGAAGGACAAAAGCUUAAGCUGACCUAACAAAACACACACUUGUCACACACUUUGCAUUGCUACGGUUGAGAAGAACAAGAAUAGCAUCUCAGAAUUCAGCAAUUUGGUCUGUUCGCCAUGGGCUGUUAAAGUCACUGAGUUCAAAAGAGUUUCAAGAUCUGUAACCAAGCACGGCAUGGCCGACAGCAAGAUAUGGUUAUUUAAUAUUGGCGCUGUCUAUUAAAAUUGUAUCAUGCA